GACAGAGGGGGCAAGCGUUGCUCGGAAUUACUGGGCGUAAAGGGCGCGUAGGCGGAAUGGCAAGUCGGUCGUGAAAUCCUUCGGCUCAACCGAAGAACGUCGAUCGAAACUGCCGUUCUUGAGGAUUGCAGAGGAGACUGGAAUUCCCGGUGUAGCGGUGAAAUGUGUAGAGAUCGGGAGGAACACCGGUGGCGAAGGCGGGUCUCUGGGCCGAUACUGACGCUGAGGAGCGAAAGCGUGGGGAGCGAACAGG
rnacentral:rRNA from 1 species